AAUCUAAGGGAGCUCUAGCACCUACUGGCCCCAGGUGGGCUGGAUGGUACCUGGUCUGACUCAGACAGGCUUGGCCCAGCAUGGGACAACCAAGUUCAGCUCUGUUCAACCCACCAUCCUGCUUCCGACCCCGGCCCUGCCGCUGAGCCCAUCUCAGCCCCUUUGACCCAGGCCUCCUUCAAAACAGAACCGUUAGCCCCGGGGCUCUGGUGCCAGACCCGGACCAACCGGCCCUGUGCGGUCCAGUUUGGGCCUAACUGGCCCAAUACACCCCUCCCCCUCAUCAAUCCCCCACCUUCUCGCGGCCCAAACUGCGUGAGAACCAGCCGCUGACGUCAAACUGUCGUGUGUCCCGUGACUUACAUUGUAUUGGUUGCUGAUGAGAAGGGGCGGGGCGGGGCCUGUUGCGGGGCCCGCACUAUAAAUACCGGUGAGCGGCCUUGUUCCGCCUUUCUCUCUGCCUAGAGAGCAGGGGCGGUGCUGGAGGCAUGACAGGAGCUGGCCUGGGACCUAUGCCAUGGGGACCUGCUGCAAUCACUGGAGAAUACCUACCCUGGUGCUGCUGACCCAUCACCAGCUGCUUUUCUUUUUGUAAAGGGUGGGAAGAAUGGUUAAUAAAACAUCAGAAAAAAAUUGUGAAACUUUAUUUUGUUGUGCUCUCUAGCACUGUCUUUGAACUAGUGAAGUGUCCGGCUGAUGGCUUCACUGGCUAAGCAACAGUGCCACAGGAAAAAAACUUGUUCAUAACUGGUGCUGCUUAGUUCAAAUCUGAGUGGCUCUUUUAAGAUCAAGUAACAACGUUAUUA